rnacentral:lncRNA from 1 species
AUGAGGUGGUUCAAGAAAGAACAGCCCAGCACCCACGUCGCGGGUGCCUGGCCGGCGAGCUUCCUGGCUUGUGUGACGUCAUUAAUGGAGGUUAGUGACAGUCAUCAACCCACUAGUUGGUCGAUUCCAGCGCAAUGGAAACUGGACCCACCUCGACUCUGGCUUGGAGCGGAGAUUCCGAAUCUUGCGAGUGCGCGGGGUCCGCGGUUUGCGCAUGAAGAUGUCCAGCCUGGGCUCUCGCACGCGGGCUUGGUUUUCAGGUCAGUGAAUAAUCCCUGGGUGAGUGGGGGUCCCCUCUGGAACUCCACGUGGUCCUCGAUGGAUGCUACGUGGCCUCGUGGCCGUCAGUGGGGCCUGUGUGGACCCCUGGGCCCCGCGGCCGUAGGAGGGUGCAGUGACGCGGCCUCACGCCUUCUUUUUCAGAUCGGGAGCGACACUUCACAGACGGUGGAGGAAAACGUCCCAGUCCUUAAGGCCAAGGUGACAGAAAUGCGUGGCAUCUGUGCCAAAGUGGACGGCUGGAGAAGGAGAAUUGCUGCGCGGAUGGCGUCAGGCCCAAAUGCUCCUGUGUUCAACGAGCGUCUGUUGAACCAUGGACCCUCCCUGACACGGUGCUGGGACAUCUGAGGUGGGACCCUUGGUCCCCUGCUGUCCGCUGGAGGACCACCAGACGGGGACCAGGAUGGGUCUGACAAGGAGCUGUGGGAGCAGCCCAGGGGGCUGAGCAGAGCCAGAGCGCAGGACUUCCCUAGGAUGGCCUUUCUGCUAAGGUCUGCAGCACGCCCUGGAGAAUCCAGGCAGGGAACAGCACGUGCAAAGGCCCGGGGGCAGGAAAGAGCAAGGCCCUCGGCUGUAGAGCUCCAGGUUAGGGAUGGGCAAAGGACCAUCAAAGGGGCCCCUGUCCCUUUUCCCCUGAGAAAGUGCAAAUUGAUCACAGUAGCACCCUUUAUCUGUGUCUCACUUUCCAUGGCUUCAGUUACCUGUGGUCAACCUCAGUCCAAAAAUAUCAUGUAGAACGUUCUAGAAGCAAACACUUCAUAAGUUUUACCUCUUGUGCCAGCCUGAGCAGGGUGAUAAAAUCUCACGCUGUCUACCCAGGCCACGCAUCACCCCCUCGUCCAGGGCACCCUGCUGUACAGGAUCCCCACCUCUGGUGACGUGGCAGCCCUGCUGGCCUGUCGCAGGCUUGUGCUCCAGGACAGGGUGACACAGUCAUUUUACUGCCAGACGUUGUUAGGAUUGCUCCGUUUGCCUGAGCGGUUGGCGGUCUCCUGCUGGGCCAAGGUGUCAAGUUUGUUGUGAAGCGAGGACAGGAGAAAACAGAGCGCCCCCCGCGGGUCCCCAGGAGGGCAGCCCCUGUGGGGGGUCCUGUGUCCAGGGCCUGUCGCCAGGCUGGGCAGCCACCUGCUGUCUCACUGCAGGCCACCUUCUCGGGAAACCCCUCAGCAGCCCUGGGCCCGCAGGUCCAGCGUCCCUCUGUGGCCUGCCCUGGACUCCUCUCCACGGGGGCCGAGCCGCAGUGGCCUUCAGCGUCUGCUUC